rnacentral:rRNA from 1 species
GAUGAACGCUAGCGGCAGGCUUAAUACAUGCAAGUCAAGGGGGUAGCAAUACAACCGGCGCACGGGUGAGUAACGCGUACACAACAUACCAUAUACUGGGGUAUAGCUUUGGGAAACUGAAGGUAAUCCCCCAUAACAUUGCGAGAGGGCAUCUGAUUGCAAUUAAAGUUUCGGCGGUAUAUGAUUGGUGUGCGUUUGAUUAGCUAGUUGGUAGGGUAACGGCCUACCAAGGCGACGAUCAAUAGCUGGCGUGAGAGCGCGACCAGCCACACUGGAACUGAGACACGGUCCAGACUCCUACGGGAGGCAGCAGUAGGGAAUAUUGGACAAUGGAGGAAACUCUGAUCCAGCCAUGCCGCGUGAUAGAUGAAGGCCCUCUGGGUUGUAAAUAUCUUUUAUCUGGGAAGAAACAAUCUUAUUCAUAAGAUCUUGACGGUACCAGAGGAAUAAGCACCGGCUAACUCCGUGCCAGCAGCCGCGGU